rnacentral:miRNA from 1 species
UGGCAGCUCAUUGAUAGGAAGGGAUCCCUUCCAAUUGAUGAGGUGUUUGCACCCUCAGAGACUCUUGCACCUCAUCAAGUGCAAGGGAUCCCUUCCAAUUGAUGAGGUAUUU